rnacentral:rRNA from 1 species
UAGUAACUGCGAGUGAAGCGGGAAAAGCUCAAAUUUAAAAUCUGGCGGUCUUUGGCUGUCCGAGUUGUAGUCUGGAGAAGUGCUUUCCGCGCUGGACCGUGUACAAGUCUCUUGGAACAGAGCGUCAUAGAGGGUGAGAAUCCCGUCUUUGACACGGACUACCAGUGCUUUGUGAUGCGCUCUCAAAGAGUCGAGUUGUUUGGGAAUGCAGCUCAAAAUGGGUGGUAAAUUCCAUCUAAAGCUAAAUAUUGGCGAGAGACCGAUAGCGAACAAGUACCGUGAGGGAAAGAUGAAAAGCACUUUGGAAAGAGAGUUAAACAGUACGUGAAAUUGCUGAAAGGGAAACGAUUGAAGUCAGUCGCGUUGUCCAGAACUCAGCCUUGCUUUCGCUCGGUGCACUUUCUGGUUGACGGGCCAGCAUCAAUUUUGACUGUUGGAAAAAGAUUGGGGGAAUGUGGCACCCUCGGGUGUGUUAUAGCCCUCAGUCAUACACAAUGGUUGGGAUUGAGGAUCUCAGCACGCCUUAAUGGCCGGGGUUCGCCCACGUUCGUGCUUAGGAUGCUGGCAUAAUGGCUUUAAACGACCCGUCUUGAAACACGGACCAAGGAGUCUAACAUGCCUGCGAGUGUUUGGGUGGAAAACCCGAGCGCGCAAUGAAAGUGAAAGUUGAGAUCCUCGUCAUGGGGAGCAUCGACGCCCGGACCUGACCUUCUGUGAUGGCUCCGCGGUAGAGCAUGUAUGUUGGGACCCGAAAGAUGGUGAACUAUGCCUGAAUAGGGUGAAGCCAGAGGAAACUCUGGUGGAGGCUCGUAGCGAUUCUGACGUGCAAAUCGAUCGUCAAAUUUGGGUAUAGGGGCGAAAGACUAAUCGAACCAUC